rnacentral:rRNA from 1 species
AUGUAUAAGUACAUUUUUUGAAACUGCGAACGGCUCAUUAGAGCUUAUAUAAAGUUUUCGGCUGCCUUUUAGGCUAUCUUCGACAAAUUGAAGCUAAUACAUGCAAACAUGUCCUUUUCGAAGGGCGCAAUAUUAGAACUACUGGCUUGCCGGCGGUUGAUUUCAAUUAUCGUUUCGAUAUCGGAAGGCGACUUCCGAUGGCCGUAAACUGUGUACGCCCUAUCACCCAGCAGGUUAAUCAUUCGCUAACCAGGGGUAUUACGGGUAACGGAGAACUAGGGUUCGUCUCCGGAGAAGAAGCCUUUGAAAGGCUACUACAUCCAAGGAAGGCAGCAGGCGCGUAACUUAUCCACUACCACAGUGAGAUAGUAACUAGUCUUAACUAUUGACUGAUCUUUUAGGUUAGUCAUGGUCCAUGAGUUGAGCCUAAAUAGCUCUUCGAGGACCAAGUGGAGGGCAAGUCUGGUGCCAGCAGCCGCGGUAAUUCCAGCUCCACUAGCGUAAAAUAUUACUGCUGCGGUUAAAAAGCUCGUAGUUGAAUCUAGUCGUGUCCGUUGGGUUUGUCGUUGGCGUUUAUUCGUCUUUGGCGUUAAUUCACGGCCGAUUUUUGCUGGUUUGCUGUUGGUCUUCGGAUCUUCGGUGGCUAGCGAGUUACUUUGAUCAAAUCAGAGUGCUCAAAACAGGCGAAAGCUUGUAUGAUUUCUCGAGGAAUAACAGAAGAGGACUUCGGUUCUAUUUGUUGGUUCCAGAAUCGUUUAAUGGUUAAGAGGGACAAUUCGGGGGCAAACGUAUCCUCGCGCGAGGGGUGAAAUCCGUAGACCGUGAGGAGACGACCAAUAGCGAAAGCAUUUGCCAA